rnacentral:rRNA from 1 species
GACGAACGCUGGCGGCGUGCUUAACACAUGCGAGUCGAACGGAAAGGCCUCUUUCGGGGGGUACUCGAGUGGCGAACGGGUGAGUAACACGUGAGUAACCUGCCCUUGACUUUGGGAUAACUUUAGGAAACUGGGGCUAAUACCGGAUAGGAGCUCCUGCUGCAUGGUGGGGGUUGGAAAGUUUCGGCGGUUGGGGAUGGACUCGCGGCUUAUCAGCUUGUUGGUGGGGUAGUGGCUUACCAAGGCUUUGACGGGUAGCCGGCCUGAGAGGGUGACCGGCCACAUUGGGACUGAGAUACGGCCCAGACUCCUACGGGAGGCAGCAGUGGGGAAUAUUGCACAAUGGGUGGAAGCCUGAUGCAGCAACGCCGUGUGCGGGAUGACGGCCUUCGGGUUGGAAACCGCUUUCGCUCAUGACGAAGCUUUGUGUGACGGUAGUGGGUAAAGAAGCACCGGCUAACUACGUG